rnacentral:rRNA from 1 species
GGCUUAUUGAAUAAUAAUUUUAAGUCAAUUCUGCCCAAUGAUUAAUAAAUUUAAUGGCUGCAGUAUAAUUGACUGUACAAAGGUAGCAUAAUCAAUUGUUUUUUAAUUAAGAACUGGAAUGAAAGAGUUUAUGAGAUAUAUACUGUCUCAUAUAUAUUUAAUUAAUUUAAAUUUUUAGUUAAAAUGCUAAAAUUAAUUUAUGGGACGAUAAGACCCUAUAGAAUUUAAUAUUAAUAUAUUGAUUAUAAUUUAAUUAUUAAGUAUUAAUAUUUUAUUGGGAGGAUAAGUAAAUUUAUAAAACUUUAUUUUAAAUAUUAACUUUAAUUAAAGAAUAAAUAUUUUUUGAUCUUUUAAUAAAAAUUAAAAAAAUAAAUUACCUUAGGGAUAACAGCGUAAUAUCUUUUUAAAGAUCAUAUUGAAAAAGAUGUUUGCGACCUCGAUGUUGAAUUAAGAUAAAUUUUAAAUGAAGAAAUUUAAUAAUUAAGUCUGUUCGACUUUUAAAAUCUUACAUG